AAAGAGAGAAGGAGGAAGGGAAAGAGAUCUCAGAAAAGAGAGUCAUCUGAAAAAGAGAAGUAAAUAAAGCCUCACGCAGUCUGGGUGCCAGGCAGAUGCUGCCUCCAUCCGAAGACCAAGGCAAAAAGCUCUCUCUCAAGUUCCUUCUGGUUUGUGACAUGUUUAUGAUCACAAAGAGGAGCUUCUGUUCCGUGCAGUGUAGGAAAACAGAGAAUCCUAGGCUGGGGUCACCUUGUCCCCUCUUUGGCUCCGGGGCUUAAACAAAAUCGCCUCACCAUUUUGAGCUUCAGGGUGCACAACUGUCCACAUGAAACCUCUAGGGCACCAUGGUUCCAAGGCCCCUUCUGGUUAUUGCCCAGGGAAUGUCCUCCAGCAGUGCCUCCUGAAAGCUGAGGAAGCAUGUGAUACUUUGAAUAUAGCUGUCAUCUCUCGGCAAAGAGCCACCAAUAAGGACCCACGCCCCUAGGUGAGUGACAUCAUAAUAGUACCUGUGUGUCCCAAAGCCUGUGGAUCAGGCUUUACAGUGUGCAUAGCUUUGAUGUGUGCUAUCUCAUCAGAUGCUAUAACAACCCUGGGAAGUAAAUACAACUGAUAUCGUCACCCCUAUUUUAAGAGUAAGAAAACUAAAGCUCAAAGGAACCUAAUGACAUAGCCAAGCUCCCAUGGCUGGGGAGUGUCAGAGCUCACAUAGACCUCCGUCUAAACUAACGAAAGGCAGUACUUGGAACAAGAAAGAAAGGACGCAUAACCAAUCCUCUUUGCUUUGCUUUGGAAUUUACUUUAAUUCGUGCCACUGUGGAUGUAAGGCCCAAAAGAGAGAACUUGAUGACAGUCUUAUGAUGCAAGAAAGAAGGUUUUACUCACCCUUAAGCAUCCUGGGAUGGAGUCCCACGUCAGACUCCCUGCUCAAUGAGGAGUCUGUUUCUCCCUCUGCCUCUUACCCUGCUUAUGCUUACUUCCAUUCUCUCUCUCAAAUAAAAAAAAAUUGUUUUUAAGUUAACAAAUUUAAAGAUGAAGAAAGAGAUUUGUCCAGAGUUUCAAUGACUUAUCUAAGAGUUUUAGCGCUAACCCUGCAACUCCAUUUCACUUAGCAAUCUAGCCCAUUAUUCUUCCAUAGUACCAGCAACUUCUUGGAUCAAGAGGGAAAACCAGAAUAUUAUAAACAGUCUUGAGUACAAGCAGGAAUGCAAUCCAUGCAUGUUUAAAUUAUUUGUCACGUGAGUAACAUCACAUCCAAAUGUUAAAAAUUCU
rnacentral:lncRNA from 1 species